rnacentral:rRNA from 1 species
AGAGUUUGAUCAUGGCUCAGGAUGAACGCUAGCGGCAGGCUUAAUACAUGCAAGUCGAACGGUAACAGGAGAGCUUGCUCUCGCUGACGAGUGGCGCACGGGUGCGUAACGCGUAUGCAACUUGCCCUUAACUGAGGGAUAGCCCAGAGAAAUUUGGAUUAAUACCUCAUAAUAUAUUUAGGACACAUGUUUUGAAUAUUAAAGCUUUGGCGGUUAAGGAUGGGCAUGCGUCCUAUUAGUUAGUUGGUGAGGUAACGGCUCACCAAGACAGCGAUAGGUAGGGGGCCUGAGAGGGUGAUCCCCCACACUGGUACUGAGACACGGACCAGACUCCUACGGGAGGCAGCAGUAAGGAAUAUUGGGCAAUGGACGCAAGUCUGACCCAGCCAUGCCGCGUGCAGGAUGACUGCCCUAUGGGUUGUAAACUGCUUUUAUAUAGGAAUAAACCCCUUUACGUGUAGAGGGCUGAAUGUACUAUAUGAAUAAGCACCGGCUAACUCCGUGCCAGCAGCCGCGGUAAUACGGAGGGUGCAAGCGUUAUCCGGAUUUAUUGGGUUUAAAGGGUGCGCA